UGGAUGAAGACAGAGCAGUGGAGUUCGACACUAGCAUGUAUCAUUUUGAUGAACAUGUACCUCUGGCGAGGGAGAGCAAGAGCUUGAGUGAAGCUCAUAGGAACAACAAUAAGCUGCAGAAGUGUUGCAAGAAGCAGGACAAGCGGCUCGCCAAGUGCUUUAAGACUAUCAAGUUUCUGAUAGAUUAACUGAGCUGUUCCUCUUCUACUACAGCUAUUCCA
rnacentral:pre_miRNA from 1 species